rnacentral:lncRNA from 7 species
AGUGCUCUUGCAGAAGUUAGUUAGAUAAGCAGUAAGUGGCUGAACAGUGACAAAUAGUAAUAAUCAAUUAAUAAUUAUAGUUUAGUUGCACUCACAAAUAGGUGACUGGUGAUGGAAUAGAGGCACGAGGGAAGGACUGCGAUGAAUAAAGAUGAGGAAUGGCCAGGGCCUGGAUGUCCUCGUGUUGGGAAGAGCGGAACGCGGAGCUCAGUAAGUCCCACUUGGCGGCAGAGACUUGUGAGUGAUCAGCAGCCCUCGGGGGAGAAGUGUGAUCCUGUUUACCUACAGCCAUAACUUCAUCACUGAAGACAAUUUUAAGCUUCCUAGGAAAGUUAAUUAAAAGGUCUGAAGAUGUCCCUAUACAUGAUUUCUGAGCUUAUGCAGCGCGUGAAGGUGAAGUCACAUUGCAAUAAGAGCAUCAGGAGGCACUACCGAAGCAUUCUGACAGGAUGGCAGCAUCCUUCCCUACAUGUUCCAGGACAUGCACAAAUGCUAAUGACUGAAGCUAAACUGGAAAUCUGGCCCUGCAUUUGUUCAAACUGAGGAAGGCAGCCUCAUGGAAUACGACUGCAGGGGUACGGAUUUCCUUCUCCAGAUGUACUUGGUGUCCUCCAGAACCACCUGUGACUUUUUCAUUUGCAGUGAACCACAACUGAAUGUAUAUGAGCUUGCGGACACAAAUAAAAUACUUGCAG